GCCCCCGUAGCUCAGGGGAUAGAGCAACGGCCUCCGGAGCCGUGUGCGCAGGUUCGAAUCCUGCCGGGGGCACCA
rnacentral:tRNA from 31 species